AUUGAACGCUGGCGGCAUGCCUUACACAUGCAAGUCGAACGGCAGCACGGGUACUUCCUCCUGGUACCGGUGGCUGAACGGGUGCGUAAUACAUCGGCACCUGUACUGUCGUUUUCGAUAGCCCUGCCGAAGCCGGACUUAUACUGCAACCGAACUCCAGCUGCGAGCGAGAGCACGUGAUCUUUCGACCUUUCGCGUUUGCAUGAGCCGGUGUCGGAUUAGCUAGUUGGUGGGGUAAAGGCCGACCAAGGCGACGAUCUGUAGCUGGUCUGAGAGGAUGAUCAGCCACACUGGAACUGAGACACGGUCCAGACUCCUACGGGAGGCAGCAGUGGGGAAUAUUGGACAAUGGGCGCAAGCCUGAUCCAGCAAUGCCGCGUGGGUGAAGAAGGCCUUCGGGUUGUAAAGCCCUUUUGUUGGGAAAGAAAAGCAGCAGGUUAAUACGGCGGUGUGAUGACGGUACCGAAAGAAUAAGCACCGGCUAACUACGUG
rnacentral:rRNA from 1 species